rnacentral:misc_RNA from 1 species
UCUACGGAGAAUGCAGCCGGAUGUUCGUCCGGCGGUGCGAGCCCCGGCGUCGCGGCAGUCGCGGCGGUCUGGGGCUGCUGGUGUGGAAGAGAUCAUGGGCUUUCGGUGCGUCCGUCGUGGGAUGUUCCGCGGGAGUGGUGCGGAUGCGCUUUUGGGCUCCCGGAUCGCCACCCCAGGCUUCGGCCUGGCGCGAUUCGAUGCCCAUCGUGCCUGAUGGCGGGCUGGUCCCGUCCGGACGGCGUGGUGGUGCGUGGUGGCUUGAGAACUGGAUAGUGGACGCGAGCAAGACGGGGUUUCCUUUUGAUUCCUCGUUCUUGCUGUUGAUUUCGAAUCGAACUCUAUUUUUAGUGUUUGUUUCGAUCGUUUUGUGAUCAUUUUAGUGUGAUGAUUUGUCGUCUGGGAAUUUGCUAGGAAGGAUCCUUGCGGCCAUGCGCACCGUGUGGUGCG